CGUCUCAUGCCUGCCUGCAUUUCAACCCCGGUUCUCCACACCAUCCUCGCUUGAGCGUUGUUGCUCCAUACCCGGUGCCACCCCCACGUUCAGGCUCUCAUGUUUCUUGUUUUAUUCUCACAUUUACCCCGUGCUUUGUCUCUGUUAUCUCUAACCCUGUCUCUCUGUCUGUUUCCCUCCCAGGUACACUCACCCUCGUCCUCCGUUCAGUCGGCUGGGCUCAUCCACCGGCCCUCUCCUCCUCGGACCUCCCUCACGGCGUCCUCCCUGUCCUCCCACCACUCCUUGCUACCUCGGCCCCAGGCUCCUUGGUUCCCUGUGCCUGUGUUUCCCCGAUGUCCUCCACUCCAGUCCCUCUCACCCUUUUUCCCUCAAUAAACCUCCUUCCCUCAGAGUGCUGCAUUUGGGUCCUCUCUGUCCACACACCACACAACCCCGUAACAAUCUUUGAUACAUCAUGAAUGACAUCCUGAAGUGUCAGCUGCAACAUGGUCAAGUGAUGUGCAGUUUUCAUAGUCUGUAAUCUCCUCAGGCCUCCUGACCAACCUUUGGAGAGGUUCCGCCCUCAGCGCUGGCCUCCUGCCCGAUCUCCUGAACUGUGUUACCUGGGUCGUCCUCCGGGAAGGCCUCCCGAACCCGGUUUCCCCCCCUGGUCUGCCUGACCUCAUGGGUCGUCCUCCGGGACGACCACCUGAACUGUUUUGCCCUCCUGGUCUGCUCGGUCGACCUCCGGGUCGGCCCCCUGAACUCUGUAUUCCCCCUUGCUCGGACCUCGGCCUCCCGAACUGUUCUGCCCUGCAUGCCAAGUGCCUUACCUGCCCUGUUUCCUGGGCAUGAUCUGCCUGUUGGGUGAUUCCCCCGGACUGUUUUGUUCCCUAACCCUGAUUUGCCUGUUUUGUCUUCCUCCUGGACUUUAUGACCCCCCUGCUCUGCCCUCAGGCCACCUGCCGGAGAAUUCCCUGUCUACUGCCUGGCCUGUCUGGGUUUUGUUUUUCUGUUGCUACCUUUUGGAUGUACCAGUUCCUGUCCUCGUGAGUUCUGUUCAUGCCAGUUUGUCAUGCUUGGGAUAAAUAAACCCUGGAACUCAAUCUCA